rnacentral:rRNA from 1 species
CAGCAGCCGCGGGAAUACGUAGGUGGCAAGCGUUGUCCGGAAUUAUUGGGCGUAAAGGGCUCGCAGGCGGUUUCUUAAGUCUGAUGUGGAAGCCCCCGGCUCAACCGGGGAGGGUCAUUGGAAACUGGGAAACUUGAGUGCAGAAGAGGAGAGUGGAAUUCCACGUGUAGCGGUGAAAUGCGUAGAGAUGUGGAGGAACACCAGUGGCGAAGGCGACUCUCUGGUCUGUAACUGACGCUGAGGAGCGAAAGCGUGGGGAGCGAACAGGAUUAGAUACCCGGGUAGUCCCUGUCUCUUAUAA